rnacentral:misc_RNA from 1 species
GAACAUCCCGACCACAUUGUUAAGGUAAUCAUGAUAUUUGGUAUGGAAUGAAAUCAUACUAUAUCUGUUUCCAUUGGCAUUUCUUUAUAUUAUGUUAUGUUACAUCCUGGAUGUUGGACUUCAUGGACUUAAUUUGCAUGAGUUCUGUAAAAUCUAUUUAUGAAUGUCAUAUAACUUCAAACUUAUAAUAUAUUUUAACUUGGAACUUUGAAAAAUUGUGUUCAAUUAUUUUUACUUCAUGGUGUUCACCAAAGAAGCAUACUGCAAAUGCAUCCAACUGAAACAACUGUCAGAGAUCUUUUGAGCUUUAAUGCUUGAAAUGGGCCAUAUCCUCUUGUUAUUAUAUUUUGAAUAUAUUUCAUAGAAGCAUUAUGUUGGACUAAUGUACUUGCUAUGUGCCUUGAUAUUCUGUUAUCAUGGUUUGUGUAGGACGCACUGUACAGAAUCAUGUAGUACAAUUCUCCCCUUCUACAAACUUUGCAUCUAAUUUUCAUUGAUUGUUUU